rnacentral:rRNA from 1 species
AAGCGAGUCUGAAUAGGGCGUUUAGUAUUUGGUCGUAGACCCGAAACCAGGUGAUCUACCCUUGGUCAGGUUGAAGUUCAGGUAACACUGAAUGGAGGACCGAACCGACUUACGUUGAAAAGUGAGCGGAUGAACUGAGGGUAGCGGAGAAAUUCCAAUCGAACCUGGAGAUAGCUGGUUCUCUCCGAAAUAGCUUUAGGGCUAGCCUCAAGUGAUGAUUAUUGGAGGUAGAGCACUGUUUGGACGAGGGGCCCCUCUCGGGUUACCGAAUUCAGACAAACUCCGAAUGCCAAUUAAUUUAACUUGGGAGUCAGAACAUGGGUGAUAAGGUCCGUGUUCGAAAGGGAAACAGCCCAGACCACCAGCUAAGGUCCCAAAAUAUAUGUUAAGUGGAAAAGGAUGUGGCGUUGCCCAGACAACUAGGAUGUUGGCUUAGAAGCAGCCAUCAUUUAAAGAGUGCGUAAUAGCUCACUAGUCGAGUGACACUGCGCCGAAAAUGUACCGGGGCUAAACAUAUUACCGAAGCUGUGGAUUGUCCUUUGGACAAUGGUAGGAGAGCGUUCUAAGGGCGUUGAAGCAUGAUCGUAAGGACAUGUGGAGCGCUUAGAAGUGAGAAUGCCGGUGUGAGUAGCGAAAGACGGGUGAGAAUCCCGUCCACCGAUUGACUAAGGUUUCCAGAGGAAGGCUCGUCCGCUCUGGGUUAGUCGGGUCCUAAGCUGAGGCCGACAGGCGUAGGCGAUGGAUAACAGGUUGAUAUUCCUGUACCACCUAUA